rnacentral:rRNA from 1 species
GAUGAACGCUGACAGAAUGCUUAACACAUGCAAGUCGAUGGGGAAGGGUAAGCUUGCUUACUUGGUAACCAUGGCGGACGGGUGAGUAACGCGUAAGGAACUUACCUGCGGGACUGGGAUAACGGAGGGAAACUUCUGACAAGACCGGAUAAAGUUACUGGGCAGCAUUGUUUGGUAAUGAAAGGAGACGCCUGCGGAGAGUCUCGCGUCCUAUUAGCUAGUUGGUUGGGUAACGGCUGACCAAGGCGAAGAUAGGUAGCCGGCCUGAGAGGGUGGACGGCCACAAGGGGACUGAGAUACGGCCCUUACUCCUACGGGAGGCAGCAGUGGGGAAUAUUGGACAAUGGGGGCAACCCUGAUCCAGCAAUUCUGUGUGCACGAAGAAGGUUUUCGGAUUGUAAAGUGCUUUCAGCACGGAAGAAGAGAGUGACCGUACCUGCAGAAGAAGCGACGGCUAAAUACGUGCCAGCAGCCGCGGUAAUACGUAUGUCGCGAGCUUUAUCCGGAAUUAUUGGGCAUAAAGGGCAUCUAGGCGGCCUAACAAGUCAGGGGUGAAAACCUGCGCGCUCAACCGCAGGCCUGCCUUUGAAACUGUGAGGCUGGAGUACCGGAGAGGUGGACGGAACUGCACGAGUAGAGGUGAAAUUCCUAGAUAUUGUGCAGGAAUGCCGAUGAUGAACAUAGUCCACUGGACGGAGACUGACGCUGAAGUGCGAAAGCCGGGGGAGCCAACAGGAUUAGAUACCCUGGUAGUCCCGGCCGUAAACGAUGAUUACUGGGUGUGGGCAGGAAGACUGUCUGUGCCGAAGCGAAUGCGAUAAGUAAUCCGCCUGGGGAGUACGGCCGCAAGGCUGAAACUCAAAGGAAUUGACGGGGCACCCGCACAAGCGGGGGAGCAUGUGGUUUAAUUCGACGCAACGCCAGGAACCUUACCAGAUCUUGACAUCCUACGAAUGCCCAUGAGGAUGGGCAGUGCCUUCGGGACCGUAGAGACAGGUGGUGCAUGGCUGUCGACAGCUCGUGUCAUGAGAUGUUGGGUUAAGUCCCGCACAGAGCGCCAACCCUUUUUGCUAGUGACCAUCAUUAAGUUGGGGAGUCUAGGGAGACUGCCUGCGAAGAGCAGGAGGGAGGUGGGGAUGACGUCAAGUCAUCAUGCCCCUUAUGAUCUGGGCUACACACGUGCUACAAUGGGCUGUACAGAGAGGAGCGAGGCGGUGACACGGAGCGAAUCUUAAAAGCAGUUCGAAGUUCGGAUUGAAGUCUGCAACUCGACUUCACGAAGUUGGAAUCGCUAGUAAUCGCGGAUCAGCAAUGCCGCGGUGAAUACGUUCUCGGGUCU